rnacentral:rRNA from 1 species
CUCCAAGGCUAAAUACUCCUGACUGACCGAUAGUGAACCAGUACCGUGAGGGAAAGGCGAAAAGAACCCCGGCGAGGGGAGUGAAAAAGAACCUGAAACCGUGUACGUACAAGCAGUGGGAGCCUCUUAAUGGGGUGACUGCGUACCUUUUGUAUAAUGGGUCAGCGACUUAUAUUCUGUAGCAAGGUUAACCGAAUAGGGGAGCCGAAGGGAAACCGAGUCUUAACUGGGCGUUAAGUUGCAGGGUAUAGACCCGAAACCCGGUGAUCUAGCCAUGGGCAGGUUGAAGGUUGGGUAACACUAACUGGAGGACCGAACCGACUAAUGUUGAAAAAUUAGCGGAUGACUUGUGGCUGGGGGUGAAAGGCCAAUCAAACCGGGAGAUAGCUGGUUCUCCCCGAAAGCUAUUUAGGUAGCGCCUCGUGAAUUCAUCUCCGGGGGUAGAGCACUGUUUCGGCAAGGGGGUCAUCCCGACUUACCAACCCGAUGCAAACUGCGAAUACCGGAGAAUGUUAUCACGGGAGACACACGGCGGGUGCUAACGUCCGUCGUGAAGAGGGAAACAACCCAGACCGCCAGCUAAGGUCCCAAAGUCAUGGUUAAGUGGGAAACGAUGUGGGAAGGCCCAGACAGCCAGGAUGUUGGCUUAGAAGCAGCCAUCAUUUAAAGAAAGCGUAAUAGCUCACUGGUCGAGUCGGCCUGCGCGGAAGAUGUAACGGGGCUAAACCAUGCACCGAAGCUGCGGCAGCGACACUAUGUGUUGUUGGGUAGGGGAGCG